GGGUGCGUAGCUCAGUGGUAGAGCGCGUCUCUGAUAAAGACGAGGUCGUAGGUUCGAUCCCUACCGCACCCA
rnacentral:tRNA from 1 species